rnacentral:lncRNA from 12 species
CUGGGUGUUGUUCUGUAUGUUGGCAAAUUGAACACCAAUAAAAAAUAAAUGUGUUAUUAAAAAAAAUGUUCUCCACUUUUAUUUCAACGCAGGAAACAAUCCAGUAGCCGAUAAACAUGGGCGAAAGAGGUCUUCUCCCGGACCGCGUGAGGAAGACGUGGGGUAACGUGUUUACAGUAUUUUCCCUUGCCACAUCAAGUCAACUCGGCUUGCCUGCCCGUUGUUCUCUGUAAAAUCCUAGAAUGAGACAUUUCUUCCAAAACAAAUACGACCUGGGUUUACGUCUCCUCGGUAAUGUUUGCUGUAACUUCUUCACAGAAACGAAAUACAGGAGAUGCUGCAAGGACUUGGAGUUGGCAUUAAACAGGCUCUUCUGGCAAAAAGAAAAAUGUUUGAAGCAAAUGCAAAAGCUUCUCUGAAAACCACUAACGAAAAAAUCGAGCAGGGUUGGAAAAUACAACAAGAACAAAGGUGAGGUUGUUGUUUUUAAGCCACGAGGACCCUUGUAUCAUUUCUUAGUAUUCCUUGGUGCAAAUAACGGAAGGCAGAUGCUAUUAUAUUGAGUUUUCCAGUGAAAAAGAGAUUUUGCUGCAUUGUUUUCUAAGCGGAUAAAUUCUCUUAACCUCACUCCUUAUCAGCAUUGGGGUGUAAUUCCAGGAGCCAGUAAGGUGACCUUUCCUACCCCCUUUCAAAGAACAAUUGAGUUCUCUUCCUGUAGGAGUUUUUUUCCUAUAUAGUUUUCUUUUAAUUCAUAGUCAUUCUGGACCUACACUAGCCGAACCUUGGGUAAACGUCUUACAGUGUUAUCCCGGUGAAAGUUAACUAUAUUCCCUCACGUAGAAAAGGUUAACUUUAUAUCAUAAAGAAUUUGCACAUUGU